rnacentral:lncRNA from 8 species
AAUAUACGUGCUUCCAUAAAAAAAAUAAGAAAAAUUUCACUUUAUUUUGUGGGGGGGGGGGUUGGGAGAACUUGUCAUGGAGUAUGUCUUGAUUCACAACGCUCUCACCUGCCACCCUCUCACUCUCACCUGCCACCCUGUCCCUCUAACCUGCCACCCUCUCGCUCUCACCUGCCACCCUCUCACUCUCACCUGCCACGCUGUCCCUCUAACCUGCCACCCUGUCCCUCUAACCUGCCACCCUGUCCCUCUAACCUGCCACCCUCUCGCUCUCACCUGCCACCCUCUCGCUCUCACCUGCCACACUCUCGCUCUCACCUGCCACCCUGCCCUCUCACCUGCCACCCUGUCCCUCUAACCUGCCACCCUGUCCCUCUAACCUGCCACCCUGUCCCUCUAUCCUGCCACCCUGUCCCUCUAACCUGCCACCCUGUCCCUCUAACCUGCCACCCUGUCCCUCUAACCUGCCACCCUGUCCCUCUAACCUGCCACCCUGUCCCUCUAACCUGCCACCCUCUCGCUCUCACCUGCCACCCUGUCCCUCUAACCUGCCACCCUGUCACUCUCACCUGCCACCCUGUCACUCUCACCUGCCACCCUCUCACUCUCACCUGCCACCCUCUCGCUCUCACCUGCCACCCUGUCCCUCUAACCUGCCACGCUGUCCCUCUAACCUGCCACCCUGUCCCUCUAACCUGCCACCCUGUCCCUCUAACCUGCCACCCUGUCCCUCUAACCUGCCACCCUGUCACUCUCACCUGCCACCCUGUCCCUCUAACCUGCCACCCUGUCCCUCUCACCUGCCACCCUCUCGCUCUCACCUGCCACCCUGUCCCUCUAACCUGCCACCCUGUCCCUCUAACCUGCCACCCUGUCACUCUCACCUGCCACCCUGUCCCUCUAACCUGCCACCCUCUCGCUCUCACCUGCCACCCUGUCGCUCUCACCUGCCACCCUGUCACUCUCACCUGCCACCCUGUCCCUCUAACCUGCCACCCUCUCGCUCUCACCUGCCACGCUGUCCCUCUAACCUGCCACCCUCUCGCUCUCACCUGCCACCCUGUCCCUCUAACCUGCCACCCUGUCCCUAUGACCUGCCACGCUGUCGCUCCCACCUGCCACGCUGUCGCUUUAACCUGCCACCCUGUCGUUCUGACCUGCCACGCUGUCGUUCUGACCUGCCACGCUGUCGCUCUCACUCUCACCUGCCACGCUGUCACUCUCACCUGCCCCGCUAUCGCUCUCACCUGCCACCCUGUCCCUCUGACCUGCCACGCUGUCGUUCUGACCUGCCACCCUGUCCAUCUCAACUGCCACCCUGUCACUCUCACUUGCCACCCUGUUGCUCUCACCUGCCUCUGGCUGGGCCCGGUCAUCCUGUUUGCAUGGAUCAUCCUGUGUAAUCAUCUGCCAGCGGUGUGGUGA